rnacentral:lncRNA from 1 species
GAGGAUCUGAAAAAAGAGUUAUGGACAUGGUGUCUUGGACAAGAACUUAUUUAAAGUUGAAGCUUCUCAGAGGAGGGCAGGGCAGGGUGGAUGCCAGAGUCCAAAGCCCUGUAUUUCUGUCCUCUUUCUGCUGCUGCCAUGUUGUAACCCCUAACAAGUGAUUCUUUCUGGGCCUUCAUCAGCUCUUUCUCGUGUGGAACUCAUCGGCGAUGAGUAGAACGAAGACAUGUGAAAGGGAAGAAGAAUCCUGGAAAAGGGAGAUUUGGGACACUUCAAAAUGCAUAGGUGAUCAUCUUCAAGGGAAAGUAGAGAAAGCAGUUAAUGGAAAGGAAUCCCAAGAAGAGGAAGUGGAGUGUUCCUGCAUAGCAGGAAAAUAAAAAGCAAUAGCAUGUCCAUUGAUGUCUUUUGAACUGCUCUGUUAGUGAGAAGACUUGAAAAAAGCCUUCAACACAGGGCUGAGAUGGUGCCAAUCAGGUCCUGCUGUAGGUGGCACAGCUACUGUCAAUAUAACUACAAGCAAGAGAGUCCUGUCUCUGUGCAGUUACUUCUAGAAAAGCAGAUGCAGCACAUCUUUCAUAUACCAAGUCUUCCGGGGGCCCCAGGCAUAACUUCCACCCACGGAUUCAACCUGGUCAUCACAGCAAUCUGUCUUCUGAAUCAAGACUGA